GAGGACGAAAGCAUGGGUAGCGAAGAGGAUUAGAUACCCUCGUAGUCCAUGCCGUAAACGAUGUGUGUUAGACGUUGGAAAUUUAUUUUCAGUGUCGCAGCGAAAGCGAUAAACACACCGCCUGGGGAGUACGACCGCAAGGUUAAAACUCAAAUGAAUUGACGGGGACCCGCACAAGUAGUGGAGCAUGUGGUUUAAUUCGAAGAUACGCGCAGAACCUUACCAACACUUGACAUGUUCGUCGCGACUUUAAGAGAUUAAAGUUUUCGGUUCGGCCGGACGAAACACAGGUGCUGCAUGGCUGUCGUCAGCUCGUGUCGUGAGAUGUUGGGUUAAGUCCCGCAACGAGCGCAACCCUCACUUUUAGUUGCCAUCAUUAAGUUGGGCACUCUGAAAGAACUGCCAGUGAUAAGCUGGAGGAAGGUGGGGAUGACGUCAAGUCCUCAUGGCCCUUACGUGUUGGGCUACACACGUGCUACAAUGGUAUCUACAACAGGAAGCAAAACGGCGACGUUAAGCAAAUCCUUAAAAGAUACCUCAGUUCGGAUUGCACUCUGCAACUCGAGUGCAUGAAGCUGGAAUUACUAGUAAUCGUGGAUCAGCGUGCCACGGUGAAUGCGUUCCCGGGUCUUGUACACACCGCCCGUCACACCAUGGGAGUUGGUUCUACCUUAAGGCAAGGUUUCAAACCCUUGACCACGGUAUAGUCAGCGACUGGGGUGAAGUCGUAACAAGGUAGCCGUAGGGGAACCUGCGGCUG
rnacentral:rRNA from 1 species